AUUGAACGCUAGCGGGAUGCUUUACACAUGCAAGUCGAACGAGUGGCGGACGGGUGAGUAAUAUAUCGGAACGUGCCCAGUAGCGGGGGAUAACUACUCGAAAGAGUGGCUAAUACCGCAUUUUAUUGGAGUGGACGACAUCGGAUUCGCUAGUUGGUGGGGUAAAGGCUCACCCAGGCAACGAUCCGUAGCUGGUUUGAGAGGCCGACCAGCAACACUGGAACGGAGGCACGUCCCAGACUCCUACGGGAGGCAGCAGUGGGGAAUGUUGUACAAUGGGGGAAACCCUGAUCCAGCCAUCCCGCGAGUAUGAGAAGGCCUUCGGGUUGUAAAGUACUUUUGGCAGAGAAGCGGUAUCUGCAGAAUAAGCACCGGCUAACUACGUGCCAGCAGCCGCGGUAAUAC
rnacentral:rRNA from 1 species